rnacentral:rRNA from 1 species
UACAGAGGGGGCAAGCGUUAUUCGGAAUUAUUGGGCGUAAAGGGCGCGUAGGCGGCCUUUCAAGUGACGGGUGAAAGCCCUCGGCUUAACCGAGGAACUGCCUGUCAGACUGGAAGGCUUGAGACCGGGAGAGGAGAGUGGAAUUCCCAGUGUAGCGGUGAAAUGCGUAGAUAUUGGGAGGAACACCAGUGGCGAAGGCGGCUCACUGGACCGGUACUGACGCUGAGGCGCGAAAGCGUGGGGAGCAAACAGG